rnacentral:rRNA from 1 species
GAUGAACGCUAGCGGCAGGCCUAACACAUGCAAGUCGAGCGGGAUCCACCUUCGGGUGGUGAGAGCGGCGCACGGGUGCGUAACGCGUAUGCAACCUACCUUUUGCUACGGGAUAGCCCAGGGAAACUUGGAUUAACACCGUAUAGUAUGCGGUCUCCUCAUGGGGGCUGUAUUAAAGGCUACGGCAAAAGAUGGGCAUGCGUCCUAUUAGCUAGAUGGUAAGGUAACGGCUUACCAUGGCUACGAUAGGUAGGGGCCCUGAGAGGGGGAUCCCCCACACUGGUACUGAGACACGGACCAGACUCCUACGGGAGGCAGCAGUGAGGAAUAUUGGACAAUGGGCGGAAGCCUGAUCCAGCCAUGCCGCGUGCAGGAAGACGGCCCUAUGGGUUGUAAACUGCUUUUGUACAGAACGAAAAGGUUUCUACUAAUACUAGGAGCUCAUGACGGUACUGUAAGAAUAAGCACCGGCUAACUACGUGCCAGCCGCCGCGGUAA